rnacentral:rRNA from 1 species
GCACCACAAGAACGCGUGGAGCAUGUGGCUUAAUUUGACUCAACGCGGGAAAUCUUACCGGGUCCGGACACACUGAGGAUUGACAGGCAAUAUCUUGGCUGUUUAAUAACCGUUUAUUAAUAAACGGUUUAUUAAACAGAUCGAGUGUUAAAUAUGCUAGUCCUUUCAUGAUUAUGUGAUAGGUGGUGCAUGGCCGUUCUUAGUUCGUGGAGUGAUCUGUCUGCUUAAUUGCGUUUCACUAAGGGCCCAUAAAUUCAAGGUAUGUUAGCAAUCGUCGCUCUAUGGACCCCUUAUUUCAGUUUAUUAAUAAACUGUUAUAAGCGCGCGUCUUGUUUAAAGAGUUUAAGACACUGCGCAUGCUGUUGGGCUCUGAAAGCAACGAACGUGACCGCAACGUCUUGUUGCCUUAAUCAAGUCGGCUGUUUAAUCUGUUUAAUUAAACAGACAGCAGUCAUUAUAUGGCUUAUCCGAGGCUAUUUAAAACUAGACGAACCGCUGUUUCUUUUCUUAAACCAGGGGAAGGUUGCGGCAAUAACAGGUCUGUGAUG